UACGAAGGGGGCUAGCGUUGCUCGGAAUCACUGGGCGUAAAGCGCACGUAGGCGGAUCGUUAAGUCAGGGGUGAAAUCCUGGAGCUCAACUCCAGAACUGCCUUUGAUACUGGCGAUCUUGAGUUCGGGAGAGGUGAGUGGAACUGCGAGUGAGAGGUGAAAUUCGUAGAUAUUCGCAAGAACACCAGUGGCGAAGGCGGCUCACUGGCCCGAUACUGACGCUGAG
rnacentral:rRNA from 1 species